CCAACAGGGAUUGCCUCAGUAACGGCGAGUGAAGCGGCAACAGCUCAAAUUUGAAAUCUGGCCGCAAGGUCCGAGUUGUAAUUUGUAGAGGAUGCUUUUGGCGAGGUGCCUUCCGAGUUCCCUGGAACGGGACGCCAUAGAGGGUGAGAGCUCCGUACGGUAGGACCACCAAGCCUCUGUAAAGCUCCUUCGACGAGUCGAGUAGUUUGGGAAUGCUGCUCUAAAUGGGAGGUGUACGUCUUCUAAAGCUAAAUACCGGCCAGAGACCGAUAGCGCACAAGUAGAGUGAUCGAAAGAUGAAAAGCACUUUGAAAAGAGGGUUAAAAAGUACGUGAAAUUGUUGAAAGGGAAGCAUUCAUGACCAGACUUGGGCUUGGUUGAACAUCCGGCGUUCUCGCCGGUGCACUCUGCCAGUCCAGGCCAGCAUCAGUUUGCCCCGGGGGAUAAAGGCGGCGGGAAUGUGGCUCCCUUCGGGGAGUGUUAUAGCCCGUCGUGUAAUGCCCUGGGGCGGACUGAGGAACGCGCUUCGGCACGGAUGCUGGCGUAAUGGUCAUCAAUGACCCGUCUUGAAACACGGACCAAGGAGUCGUCUUCGUAUGCGAGUGUUCGGGUGUCAAACCCCUACGCGUAAUGAAAGUGAACGUAGGUGAGAGCUUCGGCGCAUCACCGACCGAUCCUGAUGUUCUCGGAUGGAUUUGAGUAAGAGCAUACGGGGCCGGACCCGAAAGAAGGUGAACUAUGCCUGUAUAGGGUGAAGCCAGAGGAAACUCUGGUGGAGGCUCGCAGCGGUUCUGACGUGCAAAUCGAUCGUCAAAUAUGGGCAUGGGGGCGAAAGACUA
rnacentral:rRNA from 1 species